GCUUGAACAACUUAUUUUGUUAUAACUGCUUAUGAUAGGAUGGAGAUUUUGCAGUCUUAUUAAAUAAAUCUAAUUAGCUUUGUAAUAGUCAUUGAGUUCUUUUCUUUUUUGCUAUGAUAAAGUUAUGUGACUGUAGUCAAGUUGGCAUUUGUAAUUUUUUUUGUAUAAAUGCUCAGCAUUAAUUUUAUCUAUGAAGCUGACAAUGUACAUUGUGUCUUUUUUUAAUGACACAUAAAUACAUUUCUUGUCCGCAGUACAAAAGAUCAUAAUCGAUACAAAACUCUACUGGCAGUUGUACUUCUUAGAAACAGUUCACUAGUCUUUCUGCUGUACAUUUGUAUUCAUGCUAAAAUACAAAUCACAAUGCAGAUGAUACAGCAGCAUUUGUGACAGCAAAUUAACAGGAUGUCAUGGAUGGUGAGACCUGAUUCUCAUUUCCAGAGAAUCAGUAGUAAGAGAAGCAUCUUGAGGAACAUUGCCAGGCUCACUCUGCAUU
rnacentral:lncRNA from 1 species